AUACUCCAAUCGAAUUCAUAUUCGACACUGGUAGGAGAAGAAGCCGACUCGGUAUUCUUAAAAAAAAAAAAAAAGCAGAACCAAGUCAAUAUGAUAUGGACCGCCCCUUCUUCUUGCGCCAAAGGUCUUACCAUUUUCAAAGGAACUGAGGCUCCAUUCCUUUUCAAUUUCCAUUCAAGAGUUUCCAUCUGUUUCCACGUGUUCCAUUCAUUCCUAGGAUCCAAAGAGGGCCUCGGAGAAGUCCACCUGUCAGCACAACGAUGA
rnacentral:rRNA from 1 species